rnacentral:tRNA from 1 species
GCGUCGUUAGCUCAGUCGGUAGAGCAGUGGCCUUUUAAGCCAACGGUCGAGGGUUCGAUUCCCCCACGACGCA